CCUGAGAAACCUAAAAGUUCGAAAAGAGAGAUUCAAUGCCAGUUUGUAUUGUAUUCACGUGAGUAGAGAUGUGUGCACUUUUUCAUGUUUUUUUAUUGCAAUACUAUAGCCGGCGUGCACUUCUUUCUUAGUAGAACGUCCCGACCCGUUGAGCCUUGGCCUACGGCACAGACUUUGAUACGCAAGUAUGAAAGACCUCUGAUAUGAAAGACCUCUGAUGUACUCCUGGCUAAAGUGCUCGACGGGGUAUUAAGCCGCAAAUUAAUUUUUGUGCGUCUGUGCGUCUGACCUGUCGCAACAUUAGUGACAUUCUGUAUAUUAUAGACUUUGUGCUAUAAUUAUGGGCAGUGUUCUUAGACUGGCUUUUAUAUACCUGUCGGGGACGCUUAGGCUUUGGGUACUCUCAGGACCCGUCUUGAAACACGGACCAAGGAGUCUAACAUGUACGCGAGUCAUUGGGUAUAUAUUUUUCAAACCUAAAGGCGAAAUGAAAGUAAAAGUCGAA
rnacentral:rRNA from 1 species